CCUUAUUUUGACAUUUUGGUAGAAGGUCUAUCCCAUCUUACCAGCUCCUCACGCAAAGGGUCAUUAUCCGUCACUGGAAAGCAAAAAAUAAAACGACCAAGAAAGAAAUCUGUGCCUCAGAAAUAAAGGCAAGAAAGGAAUUUCACUGUUUUGAGCAAACUGAACUGGAGUUGUAGCAUCUGUUAACUAUCCUUUAGUUGUUGUUUUAAUUCCAUCUGGAGCAGAGUCCCAGGAGUUAGAAAGAUGAUAACAGAGCAAGAUUAUCUAGAUGGAGAACAGGGGGUAAUCUUGGUUGUAUUAACGAGGACAUGGUGGUGAAGGAGAGGUGAUAACUUCGGGGAUUACAGUGGUUUCCUGCGGCUGGAAUGGGGGCUGAGGGGGGGGUGGUGGGAGGAGAUAAAACAGAGGAAGAGAAAGGCAAGUUGAUGAAGUACCUCACAUGCUGUGCUAAAAACUGUGGAUUUAUCCUGAAGGUCAAUGGAAAGAUCAUGAAAACCAUCCUUUCUAGGCUGAACCCACUGACUGCAGUGUCAAAGGAGGACGGUGUGGGAGGGAAGAGUCUAGAGGCAGGGAGGAGGGUAACCCAGAAGAUAAGAUGGUCAGGAAGCAAAACUGAAAAGAUGUGGUGACUAGUUGGAUUUUCUUUUCUUUUCUUUUUGUCUGUGCCCCGCAGCACGUGGGAUCUUCAUUCCCCGACCAGGGAUUGAACCUGUGCCCCCUGUAUUGGAAGCGCAGAGUCUUAACCACUGGACCAUCAGGGAAGUCUCCGCAGUUGGAUCUUUAUGUUUAGGGUACGGGUAGUUGAGAAAAGGGGAGAUUCUGUUAACUUUCGAAGGUUUGGACCUUUGGAUGGAUGAUGCCGUUACUCAUCUCGGAAAAAGAAUAAAAAAGAAGAGUAGUUUCGGGUGGAGCAGGAGUGGAGAGAGGAGGGUGGUUAGUCUGUGAACGUGGAAUUACUUGAAGGAGCCCUGGGUGUAACUGGGGAUGUUUAGUAGGCGGUUGGCUAAAUGGACUUGGAGCUCAGAAAAGAAAUACGAGCUAGAAAAUCAGAGUUUAUCCGCUAGUCAACUAACCAUCAACUAAGUAAGUGAUCGAGUUAUUCAACUAAAUAAUAGUUGAAGCCAUGGCUGUCCCAGUUAAAGAAGCUGAGCCUGUACUCUGGGUGCCAGGCAAUUCACACGUCUGAACUCAUUCACUCUUCCUUAUGACCCCAUGAAGUUGGUCUGCGUAUUGGCCCCACUUUAUAAGAGGGGACACGUCAGAGAUGUCAGGGAACCUGCCCAGGAUCACACACACGCAGCCUGCAGCCUGCAGGUUCUGAGUCUAGUGCCCACGUGCUUCCCCACGUGCCGGGAAUGGACUCCGAGCGAGAAGAGAACUGGGCUGAGGUCAGAAUCACAGGGGCCGCUGGCGUUAAGGGAUGAGCAGAGAAUGGGAGUGGUAGAAGAAUUCGGAGGGUUGGCAUGGAAGUCAAAGGAAGGCGUUUCCAGAAGGGAGGUGAGUGGAAGGACCUGCUGACAGCUGUUCUAGGGAAGCCAUGUGUACACACCCUGGGAUGGAGGAGCACACAGCCAAGUGAAGACCUGCAAAACCAGACUCAGUCAGCAGCCUGAGAGAGCUCGAAUCUCCAAGCUCCACUUCACUGAGGCUGGAGCAAGUGGCAUGGGAUCCAAGAAACAGGCUUAAAUCCUGGAGUUGCUGAGGAUAGGGUGUGGAGAGAAGCAGCAGCGGUUUCAACCUUCGCAGGCUCCUCCCAGGAGAGAAGGAGGACCUGUUAUAUCUGGAGAAGCAGCAAGAUGGAAGAAGACAUUGAGCCCCUAGAUCUUCUUGCCUUGUUCCCCGAAUACUCUCAAUUAUGCCAGUACAGGUAGCCUGUUCUUAUUCCUGUUUCACCGACGGACAAGGUGAGGACACAGAGACUGAACGCCCAUGCAUUCCUGACGGCAGCACAACUGGUACACCACGGAGCUGGGGCGAGAAUCGAGACCAUGAGUGCUUUUAGCAUUGCCCCGCCGUGUUCCCUCUCCACAUUCCACAGAAGGGUUUAUUAAGGAUCGCAUUUUGCAUAAGGCAGCCGAUGGUAGCAAUGGUCCCCUGAAGCCAGGGUCCCAGGCUGUGGAGCUGGUAGGGCUGGGGCGUCUCUUGCCUUGGCUUGGGGUUGGCCCAAGGGAUUAAAAUCACUAGGGUACAAGAGGAAGGAUGCCAAGGUUGGAAGCCAGGCCCAGCCUGAAUUGGGCUGUGCUGGUGGCAUGCGAAGUUACGAAGCAUUUUCAAAGUACCUAUGACAUUUUAUUUUAGGUAGUAAAAUCUUUACGUUCAAGCUGUUAGAAAAUAUUUGAAACAAGCCAUUCCUAAAUAUGUUUAUGUAAGUAUUCCUAAGACACACUACACACAUGUGUGAGUCAGACUAAGUUCUUCAUAAAAUAGAAUUGAAUUCAGUUGUUUAAAAUGGGUUUGCUGUUGGGUUGCAUGGAGACAUGUACGUGGUUUGAUCGUAGCCCUCACUUUUCAAUGUUUUGAGUGUCAAAAGGACAUAGGAUGGCACCUUUCUUAGGAAGUGUGAUUUAUAAUAUACUCCACACUCAGUGAAAAUUGAGUUUGUGUAGUAGUUAGGAUUAGGUUGCUAGAAGAUCCAAAAUAACAGUGGCUUAAAGAAAAUAGAAGUUUCUUUUUCUCUCAUGAACGAAGUCAGGAGUCAGUUCACAGAUGGUUUGGUGGCUUCAUGGUAUCAGGGGCUCAUGCUCCUCCUGUCUUGUUACUCACUAUGCAUGAAUUCUAUUUCCAAAUUCACCUCAUGGGCCAACAUGGCUGCUGGAGUGCCAGCAAUUAUAUUUGCAAUCCAGGCAGUAGGAAGAAAAAAGGAGUGAAAAUGAGGGCACACUCUCUUCCACUUCCACUAUGUCUCCUCGGCUAGAACUCUGUGAUACGCCAGAUCUGGCUAUAAAGCAGACUGAGAAAUGUAUGAUUUUAGCUAGCCAUGAUGUUCUCAGCUAAAACAAUAAUUAGGAUUAUUUUUACAAGGAAAAAAAAGGAAGAAUGAAUAUUGAGUGGCAAUUAGGAAUCUCUGCCACAGCUUGGUUAUGGAACCUAUUCCCUUCAUCUUAUUCCCUAGGCUCCCCACACUUGCUCCUUGCCCAUCCCCUCUUGCACAUGUGCAAUUAAAAAACGACCCUAUUGCUUGAGAGACCCAGAGCCAUGCAGAACAGAAAAGAUCAUUAUGGGUGGAAACUGAGUCCAACUAGGGAGCUUCUUGCUAUGAUUAUUUGCCUUUAUUAUCAAUAUCAUUUAUUUCAUCAUCAAAAAACCUUACUGUGCACUAGAAUGUGUAGGGGAAAACAUCAGAGGUGUUAGGAAAUAUAAUACAGGAUUCCUGUCUCUACCCUUGACUUUCUUAUUUGGGGGAGAUGAGACUCCCAGAGUAAGGUCCUGUCAAGAGCUGUGAAAGGGCUGAGAUUUUCCCCCACUUGUAAGUGAGGAGCUAGCCCACCAGUGUCCUGGGUGCUGGCAGGAGACACAGGACCCUGGGUCAGAGAUAAAGGACUUAAAUUAUAUCAGUAGUCUGGGUGCCAGUCUUUUCUUGUGCUAGUUCCCCAGUUCCUGCAGGGUGACUCAGGUGGCCACAUGGUGACUGCAUGGCAGCGGGUGGCAUUACAGGAGAGGAACCUGGAGCCCAAGGCAGGCAAGGCUUGUACGAUGGGAAGCACGGCUGCCACCCCUUCUCCAGAGGGAACCUCCAUCUCCGAGGUUCCAGGCUGUCCACCGUGUAAGCAUGCUUGUAAAGACGGUCCAUCCAGAACAGAGGUGUCAGCGUCUCCGCCUGCAAGAUGUCAGACACAGGAGAGGCCCUUGGAGAACUGUCUUCCGCCCGACAUGACACAGCGCACGCCAAGCGCGGCACCAGGACAGAAGCACCCUGGUCCCCUGUGAGUGAGCAGAGCGCGCUGGGGGCUGCACAAUCAGGGGCCUGGAAGGGAGGGCGAGGCUGGACCAAGAGCGGGGAGAGGGCUCCACCCCCUGUGCAGGUGCGCAGACAUGGUACGAGGCGUUCGUAGACCUACCAAAGAGCAGUUUGGUGGAAGGGAGAGUGUUAUAGGAAAGCCGUGGGGUCUGGACGUCCCGGGAGGGCCUGGGAUGCCUGAGGAACUUCCCGCAGCGAGGAGGAGGGUCGGUAAUGGUGCCGCCAGCGACACGGCUGGGGAUGGCCGGAGCGGAGGAGACGGGAGGCGAGGCAGGGACGGGUCUGGGCAUCAAGUGCUGGGCACGUGAGCGCUUGCCACAUGGCAGGGCAGCACACCCGUAUUUAUUGUUUUGCUUCCUUUACUAUGCAGCAGGCAGGAAAGCUUGCAGGGAACUUCAUGUCUGUAAGGAUGAAGGGGUAGCACCAUUGAUAGACCCGUUACCUCAAGUGGCAUUUCCUAAAUUUCUCACGAGGGCAUCACCCAGGUGUUCAGUGCUGGAUCCUCUCAUGUAUUUUAGGAUCAGGCCCUUCCCUGCAGGUAUCAGUGUCAGGUUCUAAAGGACCCCAGGGGCCCUUACUGCCCAGGAUAAGGGAGGGCUUUGGUGUGGGGCGGAUAGAUAGAAAUACCCGUGUCGUACCUGGGUGACCAGUCAUGAUAGCAGCUCUGAAAGUGAGAAAACUAGUGUAAAGGACACAUCCGCAGGGAAACCCGGAUACUAACAGGCAAAUGGCUUCAACAGAGGAGCCCCUGACAAAGAAGAUGCUGGACAUCCCUGUCCUUAACCCUCAGACUGGAGACGGAAAUUCUACGUGUCCUCGAGUGGCUUCCUACUCUUCUCACAGAACAGUCCUGGCUCCUUGACCUGGUGUGAGAAGCAGCAGCACGCCCCUGGCCCCCGCACCUCCACAGUGAGUGAAGUGCCCCCGACUCGGCUUCCGCCAUCCAUCAUGGAAGGCUUUGGCAGACCGCUGUGGAAACCAACUCCUAAAUAUUUUAAGCAGAGACCAUGGCUGACAGGAGUCAAACUUUCUGUAUUAAUGGAGGAUUAAAACCUCAGCUGUUUCCAGUAAUUUAUUAUGCACCCGCUUAUAAACACAUUGCACUGGUCAUGGAAUGUAUACGUGUAGCAGGCCCUCCAGAGAUGGAUGAAGAACACUUCAAGGGCAUCAAGGGCACCCAGGUUCCAGCAUGGAAGCACAAUCACAGUUGGCAACCUUUGCAUGGGAAGUCCCCUGACCGUUGGUGACCUGUGUCCUGUGGCCACUGUCUGGGAACCACUGCACGUGGAAAAGGAGCAAGACCCUCUGGCCUUACUCAGACCCAUCAUUACACUGUCCCCAGAAGUGACCCAUGUCAGCCUUCAAGGGCUCAUGUUGCGAAAGGCAAUCAUCUGUCUCGUGAGAAAAGCCAUCGAAGUGCCAAAUUAUUGAUGGACAAAUCACCACACCCAGUGUGCUGUGUCUGACUGUGGGCACCACACCUCAGGGGCAACAUUAGCCCCAAACGUGACACAUGCAGGGCAGAAGCGUUCAGACCAGAAGGGGACACAAACCAUGCGAUGCUGGGACAAAGGAACAGGAUUCACAUGGAUAGAAGGGGUGGGGGGGCACGCUUGCUGUCCGAAUGCUCUGGAGGUUGUGGAGAGGAAGGUUUUCCCAGGGUGGGGGCGGAAACCAAUGGUAAAGGCUGGUUGCUGUGAAAACAGAUUUAUGCUAAAAAACCCAGGGGUGUGGGGGGAGUACUUCCUAACAGAGUUUGUGAGAACGGGCCGAGCUCUCUGUCGCUGGAGAUGCUCAGUCCUUGGCUGCAUGGCCAUGCUGGAAGAAACACUGCAGAAAAACUCCAGCGUCGGAUCACUGAAGGAAGGGACUAAGUUUCCCCUGCAGGACCUUGUGAUGCCAUGCAUGGGGGACUUGAAUCUGAAGUUGGGGUGUGUGUGGUCUUGUAAUAGGGAAGAAUAAAUCUGACUCCAUAUUGGAUCUAUUUCUUUAGCUCCAACCUUUGUGCCCUGUUGCCUCUGCUUAAGUCAUGCUGGCUCUGCACCUUUUGUAAAAGAAUGUUGCCUAUGGCUUGAAAUAUACAGGAUAGCCUGACCUUGACCUGACCUGAACACAGAAUAACAGAAACCUGGCCUACAGGGACAGCUACAAGAACAAAGGAUCUGACACCAAGAAGUUUGCAACAAUUCACACACCCCCUCACCUUGCCUUUAAAAAGGGCUUUGCUGAAAGCUUUUCGGAGUUUGGCCUUUUUAAGGCAUGAGCCACCUGUCUCCUUGCCUGGCCCCACAAUUAACCUCUCUGCUUCAAACUCUAAUGUUUCAGUAUUGUUCGGUCUCACUGUGUUAUUAGGCACAGACUUGCGUUCAGUAACAAUUAUGGUGAGCCAGCCAGGAAUCUGUGCCUGUGGCGGGUGGACCCCGGCCAGGGACAGCCCCUUCCCAAGUUCCCAGCAGCUGCUGGAGCUCAUUUUGCAUCCAGGAACUGUGAGGGACUCUCCCUGAGAGGCGUCAGCUGCCCCAGUGCACAAGGUCAUUUGGAGCAGAGAAACGUCCAGAGCUGUGGCCCACAUUUGGUGUCACUUGGGGGUAAGUCGCUCCAUCUUGCACAGGUUGGGAAUUCUCUCCACUCCAUUUGGGUUACUUCCCUUGUAGGAAGUGAGACACUCUGGGUCUGUUCUCUUUUGAGAGCUAAGCCAGUCUGUUUGGAGACCUCCAUCUGGGAGUAGAAAUGGAAUUUUAGACUACACCUCCACUGAUUUCUAUGUGACCGUAGUUUGUGUUUUUUUGUGUGUGUAUUGUUUUGGGGUGAGCCACUCCAGCUUGUGCCUUUGUUAGUGGGAGCAUUCGUUUGUUGUUUGUAUGUGUGUGUAUCAGUAUGCACUGGUCAGUUGAGACGUCUUCGGUAACAGGGCUUGCGUGUGACGGCACCAGGGUGUCCUUCCCUAUUGUGUUGGGUUUUGCCUGUGGUCGAGCAUUAGUUGGGAUUUUCCUUUUGCAAUGAAUGGGUAUCUCCCUUUUUGGCACUGGGGAACUGUGAUCCUGAAAGACCAUUUUGCAUUGCAUUUGUUUGCUUUAUUAAUAUUAGAUAACACCAGCCAUGAAUAAUUAAGUAUGGAUAAUCAGAGCUCUGUUCCAUCUUGUAGUCCCCCUAGCAUGUAUUUUGCAAAACUGGGAGAUCUUCAGUAUGCUCCUAGAAAGGGAGAGAAAGAAGAUUUUUUUUAAACAUUUCACCACCACUACAUUCUUUAGACUCUGGACUAAAUUACUUAAGAUGAAACUCUCUUAAAAUUCCAAAACUGGUUCUUUUUGCAUAUGCAGUUAAGAGAAAGCUGGCUUGAUAAAAUACCUUUUUUUCAGAAUUCUGACCCCAAGAGAACGAAAAUAUUCUGAGGAGCAAGCUUGAAGGUAACUAAGUAAGUUCAACCUAUUCCAACUGUUAUUUUUGGUUUGCAUUUGCCAGGUGAAUUGCCAUGACACGUGUGGUAAUGAUUCCUUAUCUUUACAUUUGCAUGUUGUUUGCUGUUAAAAAGUAGGAUCCUUGUUUGAAAAAGUUGAGGAAAUUGUUGGACUUCACCCUUUUGUUUUUGUUCUGCAGGAAUUAGAUUUUGUUCUGUGUGUAUGUUUACAUUUGUCUUGCAUAUAAGUUUGCUGGCUAUGAGAUCUAUCUGGAUGUAUGUGUUUCAUUAUGAUUAGGUGUCUUUGUCUUUGGAUAGUAUUGCUGAGGUUAACUUGUAAAUGAGCUCUAUUUAAUAGACUUAAAAGUAAAUGCUUACAAAUUAAAUACUUACUACUAUUUAGAAAACAGGCCAAAAUGAACUUCAGGUCCUCAUGAUCUGGGAAAUAUUCAGUAUGGAAUUGAUAUCUGGUAUUGAAGCUAGCUUAAGCUUGUUGGUUUGACUAAUACAGACAUGUCUUUUAGAAAAUUCAAACUAUUUAGGAUAAACCUUAUAACCAGCAAUAGAAAUUUCUAGUAAGAGUUUCCGAAAAGUAAGUAUAAAUUGUGAGAGAUGCCUUUAACAUUACUUACUUAGGAUGCUUUUAAAUGCUUGUAAUAGAAAACACAACUAAAAGUAUCUUAAACAAUUACGACUAAUUCCUAAUGGUUCCAGCAUAGAUUCAGUCAGUGAAUCAGUGACAUCAAGGAUCCAGGUUCUUGCCAUAUUUUCCUCUGCCAUUUUUACAUGUCCGUUUUGUCCUUGGAUUUGUUCCCUCAUGAUCCUAAGACAGCUUCCACGGCACCAGUCCUCAUCCAACAAUGACCAGAUUCAGGAAAGUAUGAACCUUUUGUCCCUUUCAAGAGCAAAGGAAACCCAAAAGUUCCCUUAUUUGCCUUCACAGUUCUUAAGCAAGGUUGCACCUGUAUUAAAUCAAAUAUUGCCAAGAAGAAAAGGAAUUACACCAGGAUUGCUUUAACCUAAUCCUCAUUCACCCACUGGGGCUAAGGAGGGACCAAUGAAAAUCAUGGGCCUAAUAACUGAACAGUAUUGGGGUUCUCUUGGCAAGGAAGUAUGAAGGCAAUUGUUGGUGUGGUCAAUACAGACAUGUCUUUUAUUGUGCCUGGGUUUACUGAGGGUGAAUGGGUUUAUGUUGUUUCUGUUGCAGUUUGUCAACAGAAAAAAAAAUUAGCUUGGUAUGAUGAAAUUCUUAUAAGUAAAUUAGAUGCAAAUAGGAUGAGAGCUUUUGGGUGACCUCUUUAGAAAUGGCUAUGAUU